UACGUAGGGUGCGAGCGUUAAUCGGAAUUACUGGGCGUAAAGCGUGCGCAGGCGGUGAUGUAAGUCAGAUGUGAAAUCCCCGGGCUCAACCUGGGAACUGCAUUUGUGACUGCAUCGCUGGAGUGCGGCAGAGGGGGAUGGAAUUCCGCGUGUAGCAGUGAAAUGCGUAGAUAUGCGGAGGAACACCGAUGGCGAAGGCAGCCCCCUGGGCCGACACUGACGCUCAGGCACGAAAGCGUGGGGAGCAAACAGG
rnacentral:rRNA from 1 species